GAAACCAAGGCAGGUGGAAGGUGCCAGAACCUGAAGGGGACAAGUGCUAGGAACUUCCAGUUGGCCAUCCUGCUGAUGUCACCAUGUAUUUUGCACUUGAUCUUAGCCAAAAGGCCGAGAAGCAAUCGUCACCACUUAUUUUGAAACAAUUAUAGAGUCACCGGAAGUUGUGAAGAAAUACUUCAUGCACCCUUCACUCAGACUACCCCAAUGGAAACAUUUUAUGAAGCCACAGCACAGCAUCAAAACCAGAAGAUUGACAUCAGUACCAUUUACAGAGCUUAUUCUGAUUCCACCAAUUCUACAUGCACUUGUGUGUGCGCAUGUGUGCUUAUAGCUGUAUGCAAUUUCAUCACAUGUAAUUUUAUAAAACUGCUACCACAAUCAAGAUACAGAACUAUUUGGUAGCCAAAAGGUUCCCUCGUGCUGCCUCUUUAUAGGCACGGCCCCUCAUGCCCAACCCCUGGAAACCACUAAUCUGA
rnacentral:lncRNA from 1 species